rnacentral:rRNA from 1 species
GAAAGUAGCUAUCUUUUAACAAGCUAUUAAAAAUUACUUAAUGAGUGAAAAUUCUCAUAUAUAGAAAAAAGACGAGAAGACCCUAGAAAUUUUUAUAAAGUGUAUUAGAAUUAAUAUUCUUAUUUUGUUGGGGCGACAUAGUAACACUUAACUUACUAUAUAUUAAUAUGCUAUUUAUUAGUCGAUAGAAUAAAUUACUCUAGGGAUAACAGCAUAAUUCUUAUAGAGUUUGUGACCUCGAUGUUGGACUA